AUUCACUAGUGAUUAACCUGGUUGAUCCUGCCAGCAUCAUAUGCUUGUCUCCGAGAUUAAGCCAUGCAUGUCUAAGUAUAAGCGUUUAUACUGCGAAACUGCAAACGGCUCAUUAAAUCAGUGCUAAUCUACUCGACUGUAUAUCCUUUCGGAUAACCCUCUUUUGGGAAACUAGGGCUAAUACGUGAACGAAGAGUACUUGUACUCGAGCUUAUUAGCUUUUGACUAACCCACUUCGGUGGUUUGGUGAUUCAUAAUAAGGUCUCUUAUCUUUAUGAAAUGUCGAUUGAAGUUCUGCCCUAUCAACUUGUAUGUAAGGUAGUGGCUUACAUAGGUUCUGACGGGUAACGGAGAAUUAGGGUUUGAUUCCGGAGAGGUGGCUUGAGAUACGGCCACCACUUUUACGGAAGGCAGCAGGUGCGAAAACUAUCCAAUCCUAACACAGGGAGGUGGUUACAAGAAAUGACAGAUCACGUGCCUACGGCUCGUUUCUGUGCUGCGUUGUUGAUUUUAAAGUUCCUUCGUAAUCAACUGGAGGGCAAGUCGGGUGCCAGCAGCCGCGGUAAUUCCUGCUCCAGUAGCGUAUGUUAACGUUGUUGCAGUUAAAAAGCUCGUAGUUGAAUUUGUUUCUGGAUGAUUUUGAGGACCUAGUCCUCUUACGAUCCUCUAGAAUUCUGAUAGGCUGCCUCUGCCGAAUAGGUAGUGGACCACGGUCUAUCCGUUUACCUUGAAUAAAUUGGAGUGCUCAAAGCAUGCUAGUGCAAUUGAACAUUCAAGCAUGGAAUAAUGAAACAGGGCUAUGGUUCUGUUUGUUGGUUCGCAGACCAAAGUAAUGAUUAAUAGGGGCAGUUGGGGCCAUUUGUACUGGCGCAGGAGAGGUGAAAUUUAUAGAUUGCGCUAAGACAAACUGAUGCGAAAGCGUCUGGCAAGGAUGUUUUCAUUGAUCAAGAACGAAAGCUGGGCUAUCGAAGACGAGGGUUCUGGGGAGAGUAUGGUUGCAAGGCUGAAACUUAAAGGAAUUGACGGAAGGGCACCACCAGGGGUGGAGCUUGCCGCUUAAUUUGAUUCAACACGGGGAAACUUACCAGGUCCGGACUCAGGAAGGAUUGACAAGCUGAAUGCCUUUUCUUGAUUCUGAGGGUGGUGGUGCAUGGCCGUUCUUAGUUGGUGGAGUGAUUUGUCAGGUUGAUUCCGUUAACGAACGAGAUCCCAGCCUACUAACUAGUUUUUCGAUACUUUGUAUCGUCAAACUUCUUAGAGGGACUGCCAGAUUAAACUGGAGGAAGGUUGGGGCAAUAACAGGUCCGUGAUGCCCUUUAGAUGUUCUGGGCCGCAAGCGUGCUACAAUGAUGUCUUCAACAAGUAUAUUUUGCUGAACCGAGAGGUUUGGCUAAUCUUUUUAAAAGACAUCGUACUGGGGAUAGUCCUUUGCAAUUAUUGGACUUCAACCAGGAAUUCCUAGUAAGUGCAUGUCAUAAGCGUGCGCUGAUUACGUCCCUGCCCUUUGUACACACCGCCCGUCGCUACUACCGAUUGGAUGAGCAUGUGAGAUUUAUGGACUGCCUUAUUUGAAGUGACUCACGUUACUUCUUUAGGCGGGAAAUUCAGCGAAUGUGUUUAUUUAGAGGAAGUAAAAGUCGUAACAAGGUAUCCGUAGGUGAACCUGCAGAAUCGAAU
rnacentral:rRNA from 1 species